rnacentral:rRNA from 1 species
AGAGUUUGAUCCUGGCUCAGAACGAACGUUGGCGGCGUGGAUUAGGCAUGCAAGUCGAACGAAUCCCAGAGUUGUAGCAAUACAGUUCUGGGGGAAGUGGCGAAAGGGGCAGUAAGGCGUGGGUAACCUACCCCGGGGACCGGGAUAGCCUCCCUAACGGGAGGGUAAUACCGGGCGAUCUGACUCAAGGGCAUCCCUGGGUCAGGAGAUGAGUUUCGCCUCGGGAGGGGCUCACGUGGUAUUAGCUAGACGGCGGGGUAACGGCCCACCGUGGCUUAGAUGCCUAGCGGGUGUGAGAGCACGACCCGCGCCACUGGCACUGAGACACUGGCCAGACUCCUACGGGAGGCUGCAGUCGAGGAUCUUCGGCAAUGGGCGCAAGCCUGACCGAGCGACGCCGCGUGCGCGAUGAAGGCCUUCGGGUUGUAAAGCGCUGUCGAGGGGGAGG